UACGUAGGGCGCAAGCGUGUCCGGAAUUAUUGGGCGUAAAGAGCUCGUAGGCGGCCUGUUACGUCUGCUGUGAAAUCCCGGGGCUUAACCCCGGGCGUGCAGUGGAUACGGGCAGGCUGGAGGCAGGCAGGGGAGAACGGAAUUCCCGGUGUAGCGGUGAAAUGCGCAGAUAUCAGGAAGAACACCCGUGGCGAAGGCGGCUCUCUGGAACGCAACUGACGCUGAUGCACGAAAGCUAGGGGAGCAAACCAGG
rnacentral:rRNA from 1 species